GUGCAGAGGAGAAGUGUCUUCUGCGGUACUGCUCGGGCUGGGGUUCCCUCCUGCCCCACAGCUGGACCUCGGCCGGGGCCCUCCUACCCCACCCCUUCCCAGGAGUCACGUGGCCGGGAAAGCCUGCAGCCCCGCACCCCUCCAGACGGCUCCGCAGGACAGCCCGGGAAACCGCCCCUCCUGUGGGCGGAGGUCCCCGAUCCCCGAGGACCCCCCCCCCCCCCCCCCCCCGCCCUCAGCAAUGGCUUUCCCAGGUCUUCCGGCGGCAGGGCCUUCCCCCAGAAGGAAGUCUCCUCGGUCGCAGGGAAAGUUCUCGAGCUGCAGGAGUCCCCGGCGGCCUGGGCCUGUCCCCGCGUCCCCCCCACCCCACCCUCCCGCUCUCCCGCCGCAGCCCCCUCCCCUCGAGCUCCCGCGCGGUGGAGCCAGGCUGCCCCGGAAGGAUCUGACCGGCCACUUCCUGCAAUUGUGUCUCUGGACGGAGUCCUCGGGCGUCCAGCGCUCCCAGUCUCCCCCCGGAGCCCGGGUCUCUCACGUCCCCGCCCCCGUUCGCCGCCCGCGGCCGUCCCUCCGCUCCCCUCCCGGCAGCCGGCAGCUCGGCCGGGCGUGCGUGGUUACCGGGGCAACCGGCCCGGCCGGCGUGCGUAGUUACCGGGGCAACGGGGCGCGGGGGGGGGGGGGGUGCCGGGGGCUCAGCUCGCGCUCGCGGAGAACCCGAUCGGCUGCGCCUCGAGCGGCGGGCCGGGGGCGCAGAACCGCGAGGGGAGUCACCGCACCAAGCGAGGUGGGGGGGGACGGCGCUGGUUCCUUCCUCACCCCGGACCGCCGCUGCCCUGAACACAGCCCGCCCGCCCGCCCUCCAGGUCCCGCGGGGCGUGGACUCCGGGAAGAGGCUCUGGGAGCUCGGAGGAGGGGCCUGUCUGCGCCUGAUGGAUGGCACUGAAGCAAUGUCUGGCACUUUCCUUCCCCGCGGGGGAGGCGAAGCUUCGGCCACCUCUCCCCCGCGUUCGUUCGCAUUCCUGCCCGCCUGCUCAGGAAGGGCUAGGGGUGGGCGGCCGGGAGCAGGGCCAGCUGAGGCUCGCUUUGCACACUACCAUUCACAUUUGUCUACACUGGCAUGGGAGUGGAGGGCGGGUGGACAGUCCCCAAAUCUCAACUGAGGUAAGAGAGGAUGCAUCCUUCCUUCCUGGCUCCCAAGCCUCUCCUUGGAGUCCCCGCACUCACUGUAUUUCUACUGUAUGCCCAACACUGGGUCAUAUAGCCAUUUCCCAAUCUGCUGUGGUCCACAGGACCCUUUCAGGGGAUGGAUGAGUUCAAAACAAUCUGCAUAAUCAGGCUAAUACACGAUCUGCCUCCAUGACUUGACAGGUAUAUUGAUAGUAGGAAGGCCACGAGGGUUAACUUGCUGGUGUCUUUGCACAAACCAAGGCGGUGGCACUGAGUCACUGUUCUUCAUCACCAUACAUUGGCAGUAAAAAAAUAAAAAUUAAAAACCCAGUUUCUCUUAAGAAUGUCCUUGAUAAGACACUGAAACAUAUAGACAUAUGAUUGGUUUAUUAUUUAAAUGAGUUAAUAAGGACUUGUUUUAAUUUCUCAUAUGCUAUAUAUGGAUAGAUUUAAUCCACA